UUAGGCUGGGUAAGCAGAGCAGACUCUGAAGUCAGACUGCGUGGACUGAAAUCCCCGGUCCACCACUCGGCAGCCGCGGAUCUGCGAGGCUUAGCUGUGACCAAGAAAGACACGUUCUCUGCCUUCAUGGAGGGACCUUCUAAACAUCCAGACCUGGAGGCUGUGUUCUAGAGCCGGGAGGCGCUUUCCCCAGACCACACAGGAAGUCAACGCCAGGACUACCGGGUCCCUUGAGAUCAGCGUUGUGGGAUUGGAUGUGUUCCAGACUAUUAUAAAAUUUUAAAUAACUUUUACCAUAUUGUUAUUGUUAGUGUGUUACAGGCGUUGCUUAGAAAAUACAGAUAGAAUAUGGACAUGUUCUUCCAGUGCUUUUAGUCCACCUUUUAAUGUUAAAAAUAGUUUCUUUGAAAUGCUUUUCUUGCGCACUUAAAUUGAAGAUGCUUUUUGCUGCCAGUACCAGAAAGCCCGUCUCAAACGGAGGGGCUCACCUUCUCACAUAACAAAGGGUCUGAAGGUGGGCCAUUGCUGGUGAUGCUCCGGAGGCUCAAAACCUCCAGGGCCAGCAGUGAUGCGCGUGGCGUCUCCCUGGAGUUUUCCAGAAGGCUGCCAUCAGCUCAAGCCAUACCAUCCACACCCCGGACAGACCACUGGGCAGGAGUGGAGGCAGACGGAAGGCAAACCUCUCCCAGAAGAUGUCACAGGCCAAGCUCUCCUUGAGUCUUUCCGUCGGAAACUGGACAUGUCUGUGGACGCUGGGAAAACAGAAAGCCAGCUUGCUAUGACUGGCUUAGACCAAGACGUGCGUCCUUUCUUUGGUCUGGUCUAAUGUCGGAAUAGACAGGAAAUGAGUCAUCCGACGGUCACAGGGCUUGCUACUGACACCCAGGAGGUGCAGAUGAGCCAGAGAAAGAGGCCAUCCAUGAUUUUUACAAUACACGAGUACAAUCUGUGAAGCCUGAAUUAAACUACGGUGUACACUGUGUUAAUCUUAUUUUUUUCUGUAACAAAACAGCUAGGACGCCAUCCAUCCAUUUAGAUUUUCUCUCCUCUGUGAUUUUUCCCCACUCGAUUGUGAGCUCUUCUACCUCGUUGUCAGUGGCUGCAUGAGACGUUGGUGUGCGCAUGAACCGCAUGAACCACAGUGCCUUUGACCGACCAUCUGCUUCAGAUGCGACUGUCCCCGUGGCUUCUCUCUGUCGUAAACACACUCCAACGGAGGCCCUUCUGUUCACUUUUUCCAAAUUUCAGAAUUAUCUCCUUAGAGCAAAAUACUUGAGGUUUUUGACUGAAAUGUAUGCAAAAAUUUUACCACUUUUAUACAGAUUUCAAAUGUACGCUCCAUGAAGACUGCCAUUUUCAUUAUGCCAUGCUCAUGGUCAAGUGCGUGCUCCACCAUACAAGACCUCACUGUUAAGGAAAUUAGCUGAUGUGAGAAUUAGAAAUAUAUCAGGUCAUUGUUGUCAUCUGUAUUUCUUUUAUUACUAGUCAGGCUGAAUUUUAGAAAAGUGUGUGUUGUCUGUUUUUCUGUAAAUUGCUCAUUUAUAUCUUCUAAGUUUUCUCUUGGUGUUGGCGAUUCACAGUUGAUUAGAAAAUGGACAGAAGGUAAAUAAAAUUGUUCAUAAUUUCCUUA